GGUUCGGUGGUGGAUGGUCCACACCUGCAACCUAUAAAUGAACAUUGCCCGAGUUCUGCAGGAGUAGCCCGUUCGACUCGGGCCCGAGCCA